ensembl:snRNA U6 U6 spliceosomal RNA
AGCUCAGUUUGGCAGCAAUAUACUAAAAUGGGAACAAGCAGAGAAGAUUAGCAUGGCAUCUGCAUAAGAAUGACACACUAGUUUGUGAAGUAGUUCAUAUUUUA